rnacentral:rRNA from 1 species
GACGAACGCUGGCGGCGUGCCUAAUACAUGCAAGUCGAACGCAGUGGGGACGGGUGAUUAACACGUGGGUAACCUCCCAUCAGAGGGGAUAACACUUGGAAACAGGUGCUAAACCGAUAUUGGUGGAUGGAGUCGCGGUGCAUUAGCUAGAUGGUGGGGUAACGGCCCACCAAGGCCACGAUGCAUAGCCGGCCUGAGAGGGUGACCGGCCACACUGGAACUGAGACACGGCCCAGACUCCUACGGGAGGCAGCAGUGGGGAAUCUUCCGCAAUGGGCGAAAGUCUGAUCGAGCAACGCCGCGUGUGUGAAGAAGGUUUUCGGAUCGUAAAACUCUGUUGGUAGAGAGGCGUUAUCUAACCAGAAAGCACCGGCUAACUACGUGCCAGCCGCCGCGGUAAUAC